CAACUGGGGAGAGAGAGUGGGGAAUGAUAUGGAGGAAAGGAGCCACAGGUUGGAUCUGGACCCAGGCCACCCACUUUCAGGACAACAGCCUCUUAACAUGGGGUGCACUUUUGGUUUAGAGCACAAAGACCCCUGAGCGCUGGCCAGCCCACCCUGCAGAUGGCCGGAGGAUCAGAGGCUGUCAGCACGCUUAAACGAGCCAAGAGUCGAGGCUUCAGCCCCGCGGGGGAGGACAGAGCAUGAAUGGGGCUGGUUAUGCUGCAGACUCAUCAUACCCGUCCUCAGAUUAAAAUAGAGGGUGAGAAGUGGACACAGCAGGGUUCUCUUCAUACAG